UACGUAGGGUCCGAGCGUUGUCCGGAAUUACUGGGCGUAAAGAGCUCGUAGGUGGUUUGUCGCGUUGUUCGUGAAAACUCACAGCUCAACUGUGGGCGUGCGGGCGAUACGGGCAGACUAGAGUACUGCAGGGGAGACUGGAAUUCCUGGUGUAGCGGUGGAAUGCGCAGAUAUCAGGAGGAACACCGGUGGCGAAGGCGGGUCUCUGGGCCGAUACUGACGCUGAGAAGCGAAAGCGUGGGGAGCGAACAGG
rnacentral:rRNA from 1 species